UUUUACACAACCUUGAAGCAAAUUAUUUGAAAUAUUUUCUGUGACACCGUACACCAUCGCUUUAAUACGAUCCUCAGUUUACUUUAACAGUAAAUGAACGAUAUGAGGGUUUUUAUCUAAUCUAUCAUAAAAGCAUCACGUAUAUAUGCUUACUAUUGCAUAUUAUAGCACCGGUUUUAGUUUCAGUUGAGCACAAAAAACGUUUCAAGCAGGAGCCAAUAAAUUUAAAAAAAUGUUGGUUCAAUUUGGACAAUUAAAAGGCAUCGUCAAAGUUCGUCAAUACACGAUCGAUAAUUUCGCUUUUAAAUUGCAUUAUCGUUUAACCGCAUGGAUAUUUGUUGUUGCAACAAUUUUGGUGACAUCAAGGCAAUACAUUGGGGAACACAUUAAAUGUAUUGCAGAUGAUGGUGUUAAAGCCGAGGUUAUCGAAACGUUUUGUUUUUUUACUUCAACAUUUACAAUCCCUAAAUAUUAUGAUGAAAAACUUUUAAAACUUGGUGUUCUUCCACACCCCGGUGUUGGGCCUUUAUCGAAAGAUUCAACCGAUGAAGUGACUUAUCAUGCUUAUUACCAAUGGGUUCCUUUCGUUUUAUUCCUUCAAAGUAUCAUGUUUUAUUUCCCCCAUCUGUUUUGGAAAAAAAAAGAAGGUGGCCGAUUAAAAUUAUUAGCCGAAGGAUUACGAUUUAACGUGAUAACACGUGGAAAUUCGAUGGAUGUUAAUGGAGUCCACAUCACUUCGGCACAAGAAAAAGAAGAUAAAUUAACAACGAUUAGAGAAGUUUUCGUUGAAAGAAGGAUGUUGCAUCGAUCGUGGUGUUUUUGGAUGAUUAUUUGCGAAAUUUUAAACUUAAUUAACGUGGUAGUGCAAGGAUAUAUUAUUAAUAAAUUUCUUGGAGGUAAAUUUUGGGGGUUAGGACCGAAAGUUAUCUCGGAUGGAAUCGAUGGAAACGCUGAUGUUUUAGAAAGGGUUUUUCCGAAGGUAACUAAAUGCGUUUUUCAUAAAUAUGGCCCUUCGGGAACGAUUCAAAACCACGAUGCAAUGUGCGUUAUGGCCUUAAACGUAAUUAAUGAAAAAAUUUACGUUUUCCUUUGGUUUUGGUUAUUAUUUCUUUUUAUCUGUUCUUUAAUCGCGGUUAUUUAUCGCUUCACCAGCAUGGCUUUGCAUUCGAAAAGUAGCAUGUUCAACAAGUUCAUUUUCACACCUUACAAACCCAAUCGAAAGUUUAAAGGUUGGUUUGGCAUCUUAAAAAGGUACAACUACACCGAGUGGUUAUUCUUAAGUUAUUUAUCGAGUAAUAUGGACCCGUUGAUUUUAAAAGAUUUAUUUGAAACGCUUGGUAAAGGUCUGAAUGAUUCCGAUUCGGAUUCUGAUAAGAAAACUUUACCAGAUGAUCAUGAAAGAAACCUCGAAGAUGUAAUGUCGUUCUUUGAUCGACAAUAGAUUUAAGUAUUUCUAAGUUUUUUAUAUAAAUUAAUAAAUAAAUACUCCUUUUUUUACCAAAUAAUCCUUUUCUUAAGUCUAACUCUUAUUGACCUUCGUGAAGAAGGUGAAAAGGUCGAUGCCAUCACGAUUUUAGUACCAUACCAACAAGUAUAGUGGGCGCCAGUUUAUUGGUGAAGAAACUUUUAAAUUACAACUUAAAAAAUCAGCUCAUUUUAAUACAUUUUUGAAUCGGACGGUUUUACUACGUUCAAUGAAUGUUAAGUUUUAAAAGCGACUUCUUGCUUUUCUUUAACGUUCACUUCGUUUGAGUUUUCUGACCGGUCAAUAGAGAACGUUGACCUUUCUCUUUGGUUUCAACACGAUGAAGAGAGAUUUCGUUCCAUUUUAUUGAAGAAAUUUAUAUCUCCAAAAAUUAAAUUAAAUAAAAAUAUCUUUUAGGUUAACUAAAACGUCAAAAUUAACCGAAAUGUCAAUUUAAUGUUUACCAACUUUAGAUUUCGUUACAAACAUAACCUAUAAUUUAAAUCUAACUUCAAGUUAUUUAAUAAUUUUUUCUAAAUACCAAAUAAUUCUUAAUUAAUAAACUUUACGACAACCUAAAGCAUUAAAGGCAUAAACCUCUUAAAGUCACGUACCCUUUUAUCAACAAUUUAGUAAAUAUUUAUCAACGUGAACAUUAAAAUAAGUACGAAAACGUGGACCGGAGGCUGUUAAAACCAGACACUAGAAAGAGGGUGAAAUCUAUUUUUAGGGUUGCCACAACGAACAAACUCAAAGAAUCACCCUUAAACCUAUUAUUUCAUUGUCAAAAAUCGUUUGGGCUAUUGGAGGGGAUAUUUUCCCGGAAUAUUCUACUCAAACAUUUUUACCUUUUCACUGUUCAGUUUCCUGGAAAAAAAAAAUUAAAGUUGUAAACAAUACAAAAUUGUUUUUCUUUAAUUUUUUUAUUAAAAAAAUUUUGUUGUGCAUUCACACGGGACGCAGAGAGACACAAAAGAGUUCAAACGGGUCAAUUACGAUGGAUUAAUGUAAAUUGUAAAAUUGACCCCGGCGUGGUUUUCCAAUUAACAAACCGAAGACAUUUCUAAGUGAACAAAUUAGGCCACUUUAAAAGGAACAUGCAAGUUUCGUUUAUUAUUUCGUAUAAAAUUCACUACUAUCAUACGGCGCAACAUUGAUGCCACAUCGAGACAAAAACUGAACAGUUUAUAAUGAAGUCUAGCUUUUAAUCUAAAGUAUUCUAAUAUAAAUCAUUUUUCAUUGAA
rnacentral:misc_RNA from 1 species